CAAAUAUGUGUUUUGAAGAUGCUUUUGGAAAGGAUUUUCUUUACUGUUUCAUACAAAGGCUGCUAUGUUAAGAGAGAGGGGAGCUACUAUAUCCUGACCGUGAGAUACACCAGUCCUAACCACAAGGAGAAUGUAUUGGACAUGAGGUGCCCAAUACACUCUGGGGAACAUGUGACUACUCCCCAUUCCACUGUUCCUCCAGUGUCUCAUCCAAAGGUAUCUUGUCACAUUUCCACUAUGGAUGUGCUGCUGCCUGGUGCUGUGCCAGACCAGGUCAAAGUGAAGG